rnacentral:rRNA from 1 species
UACAGAGGUCUCAAGCGUUGUUCGGAUUCAUUGGGCGUAAAGGGUGCGUAGGCGGCGCGGUAAGUCGGGAUGUGAAAUCUCGGAGCUUAACUCCGAAACUGCAUUCGAUACUGCCGUGCUUGAGGACUGGAGAGGAGAUUGGAAUUUACGGUGUAGCAGUGAAAUGCGUAGAUAUCGUAAGGAAGACCAGUGGCGAAGGCGAAUCUCUGGACAGUUACUGACACUGAGGCACGGAAGGCCAGGGGAGCAAACGGG